CCGAAGGCAGAUGUGACACGCACUCUACACGCGUGACCGCACAAAGUUAAAGAAGUUAAAUACGAACUAUGCUGACGGACAGGUCCGACUAGAGAGAGGGACCGUGUCCACUCGCGCGUGUCGAAGAACCACCACGGUUUUCAACUCUUCGCAGUCUUCUUCCGUCGCUUGACCUUGCAGUUCAAAGGCAUGUCGGAGUUGAAGAAAAGUGCGUUUACCGCGCACUUGUUGCUGGUGCUUUCUUUCAGUUUCAACGCCUUGGAAGCGCAAGUUCAACAUGAUGGCAGCCAUUUGGUCAAUGGCAAAGAGAUAAUGCUACAAUUCCAACCAGACGAAUACAAAACUUUCAAAUAUAUUUCCAUGAAUAAUGCAUCGAGUUGUUUAAUUGUCACUGCGUGCUCCGCAACGAUCGAAUGGAAUGUUUUCCAAAGCGCCAUUGGAGUUAAUUCAACGUCUAUUCUUUUACAUUCGUCGAUAGUGAAUGAGCAGGAAAGUUUUAAAUUUCCUCUAGGACAAUUCGAUGUUUCUACAGAGUACACAAUCAAACUUAAGAUGAACUAUAAAGGAUAUGGUUCUAUUUUUGCCACAAACAUCACAACACAUCAAGAAAAGUGGAAAAACAUAGUAAAAGCGGGAAAUGUUACAAAUGAGGUGGAAAAGUGAGAGUGACUUGAUUCUACGAUGGUAUAAACAUAAGAAAACUCCUCAACAACUUGAGCAAAACUACUGUGUGCUGAUAACAACUGGUCGAGCUCAGAAAAAUUUAUGCAGUGUCCUCACACAAGAUGAGUACGUUCAUGUGAGGAAUACAACAGAAAAUCUUCUCUCGGCUUCAUUCAUUGAAAAUUACGUGUCGUCAAAAGAUCAACUAGUUUAUUGUACCAACACUAAUUUACUUAAAAUCAACAUUGGCCAGUUACUGGAUCAAUCUUUUAAUACUUCCAAAAGCGCACAACGUGUUACCGCCAUUUUGUUUGCAUUUGAUAGUUACUCAAGAAUACCGCGGUAUGUAACCAGUAAUGAAACAUUUUCCGUGCGACCUUCUGUAGUGAUGAAAGAAAACAAAAUGUCCUACGUUAAAUUGACCAAUGGGCCGGUUACUUUGUCCCUUAAAAUACUCCAGCGAUCAUUUACAAACAACAUUUUGAUUUGUACGUGGUACCAUGCGAUGUGCGCUUAUCUUUCGAUGUUAACAUCGCUUUCAAUGGCAAUCAACUAGCUGUAAGAAAAGAUAUCUUUGGUUUUGCUAAGUUGAGUGUCCCGAAUGUUCAACUGAAGAAGUCCUAUGUUAUUACCGUGACUGCAAGUCAAUCGAAUCAAAGUUCAUUGCUUAAAGGAGU